rnacentral:lncRNA from 1 species
CCCUGCCUUUAUUAAAAUGAUUGUUUUUAUUCACUGUAUGAUAUAGAUUCUGUAAUAUUAUUAUUUGAUUAAGUAUUUCCCUUUCAAUUUCUACGACAAGGGGGCAAUGGUAUUGUUACCUUUCUGUCUUUUAUAGACUAUACCAUCUUUUCACAGAAUGUAAUGUAGCACUAGAAAAAAAAAUCUUGAAUAAUGUCAUUUUCUGUCUCCUUUAAAUAUUUUUUGCUUCCUUAGAUAAUCAUUUCUUUGUUUCCAUCCCACUAAAGUAUUCUGAGAUUAAAUAACCUCGACAUUCUGUGAAACAUAUACAAAUGAUGUUUUACUUUAACAACAUAUAAUCCAAAUAGACAUAUAAAACUAUUUUUACCAUACCACAUUUUGUGCCUAUACCUUUAGUAAUAUUACCUAGGUCAAAUGUUGUUUGUUAUUGUUUAUCUGUGUAAGUCUAUUUUGUUGGAGGAGUCAGUUGUAAGGGGUUGGGUCGAGUCUGUAGUUAGGGGUAGGAUGGAGUCUGUUGUUAGGGGUAGGGAAGAUAUUGUUGUUAGGGGUUGGGAAGAGAUUUUUGUGAGGGGUUGGGAAGAGUCUGUUGUUAGGGGUUGAGAAGAGUCU